rnacentral:misc_RNA from 1 species
AACGCACAUUGCGCCCGCCAGUACUCUGGCGGGCAUGCCUGUCCGAGCGUCAUUUCAACCCUCAAGCCCCAGCGGUUUGGUGUUGGGCGUCGGCCGUCCUCUGCGGCGGCCGUGCCCCAAAUACAGUGGCGGACUCGCUGUUGCCUCCUCUGCGUAGUAAUUACACCUCGCACCGGAUAGACACGAAGUCCACGCCGUAAAACAACCCAAUUUCUGAAUGUUGACCUCGGAUCAGGUAGGAAUACCCGCUGAACUUAA